rnacentral:rRNA from 1 species
GUAGGGAAUAUUGGGCAAUGGAUGCAAGUCUGACCCAGCCAUCCCGCGUGCCGGAAGAAGGCCCUCAGGGUUGUAAACGGCUUUUGACGGUGAAGAAUCGACAGGAUGCGUCCUGUUUUGACGGUAGCCGUUGAAUAAGCACCGGCUAACUCCGUGCCAGCAGCCGCGGUAAUACGGAGGGUGCGAGCGUUGUCCGGAUUUAUUGGGUUUAAAGGGUGCGUAGGCUGGAAGGUCAGUCAGCGGUGAAAAGCUGUCGCUUAACGAUAGUCUUGACGCAGAUACUUCCUUUCUUGGAUGAGGAGGAGGCCACUGGAACGGAUGGUGUAGCGGUGAAAUGCAUAGAUAUCAUCCAGAACACCGAUUGCGAAGGCAGGUGGCUGUACCUUAAUCGACGCUGAUGCACGAAAGCAUGGGGAGCAAACAGGAUUAGAAACCCGGGUAGUCC